AGUUCAUUUGCAAAGCUACAACUGAAGCUAGAAAGAUUGUUCCUCUCGCUAUCCUUUGCUCCUUUGUGGUGUAUUUGGACGUCGGGGAACUACAUUA